rnacentral:lncRNA from 1 species
CUAUAUAUAGUGGGCACUUUUGGGCUUUUGCAGACACAGUUUUCCCUCUCCCUCGGCGCAGCCCUGCUCUUCUUUCUCCUCCUCUGUGCCGGUGCUUGGCGAAGCCCUACCGGGAGACCUCGUCUCUCCAUCGACUCCACGCCGUCGUGCUGCCGGAGAUCUUCCCCAACCUCUCCCUCCUCCUUGCUGGAUCAAGGUGCGGGAGACGUCACCGGGCUGCACGUGUGUUGAACGCGGAGGUGCCAUGGUCCUGCACUAGAUCGGAAUCACACCGCAAUCUGAAUCGCAGCGAGUACGACUCCAUCAACCGUGUUCUAGCAACGCUUCCGCUUAGCGAUCUUCAAAGGUAUGAAG